AGCUAGCUGAUGAAUCUCAUAUAGGACGAAACGUAUUGUCCUGGAU
rnacentral:hammerhead_ribozyme from 1 species